AUUCCGUGUCAUGUGACCGCGCUGAAAGCAAGCAACUACCUGGCCAAAAGGACCGUGUUUCGUUGAGGUUAGGCUGCAUGGCCGCAUAUUUAGGUGCUUUAACUAGCGAAAUAAAAUCUCCUAAACCAUCUUAAGAUCGUUAUUUGGCAAGUGAGUUUUCACUUUUCCAUCAAUCUCUGGUCUAUACAUUGAUAGGUUAUUUUAUUAGACCGUUUUAGAAAUACUACGCUUCGACAUGUCAGGGCAACAAUGGCAACAGUAGUAUUGGAAGACGGGACCAAGGCCGUUUGUUUGGGAGCUGCAGUGUCUGGUGAAAUCGGCGCUGAGUCAGAUCGUGCUCCUCCAGUAAAGGUGCAUGUAGACAGCAUGACAUCCCAUAGUAUAAUACGCUUGCCUGGAUUGAUCGAUGUCCAUGUGCACUUGCGGGAGCCGGGUGGCACCCAUAAAGAAGACUUCUCCUCUGGCACAGCUGCUGCCCUGGCUGGAGGAAUCACCAUGGUGUGUGCCAUGCCCAAUACCAACCCUGCCAUUACUGACCCAAACACUCUUGCUAUGGCACAGAAGCUUGCCAUGGCUGGGUGCCGCUGUGAUUAUGCUCUCUACGUGGGGGCGUCAUCAGACAACGCUACAAUUCUUCCCUCUAUCGCAAGCUCAACAGCUGGCCUGAAGAUGUACUUGAAUGACACAUACUCCACUUUGAAAAUGGACAAUGCUAGACAUUGGUUGGAGCACUUUGAGAAGUGGCCAAAACACUUGCCCAUUGUCGCACAUGCUGAGAAACAGACCGUGGCAGCCAUCUUGAUGGUAGCACAGCUGUAUCAGAGACCUGUUCAUAUCUGCCAUGUUGCCAGAAAAGAAGAGAUUUUGGUCAUCCGAGCUGCCAAAGAAAAGGGGGUCCAGGUGACAUGUGAAGUGGCUCCUCAUCAUCUCUUCCUGUGUGAAGAUAACGUGGCUUCCAUUGGAAGUGGCAAAGCACAAGUACGCCCAAUGCUGGGAUCAAGAGAGGACAUGGAGACAUUGUGGGAAAAUCUGGAUAUCAUUGAUUGUUUCGCUACAGACCAUGCACCUCAUUCAGUCUAGGAGAAGAACUCAGAGAAGCCACCCCCAGGUUACCCAGGCCUGGAAACCAUGUUGCCUCUUUUGCUCACCACAGUCAACGAGGGACGUCUCACCAUUGAUGACAUCAUCAGGAGGCUUUAUGAGAACCCCAGAAGAAUGUUUGCUCUCCCUGCUCAAGAGGACACUUACGUGGAGGUGGAUUUGGAUCAAGAGUGGACAAUUCCAAAGCACAUACAAUUUACAAAGUCUAAGUGGACUCCAUUUGAAGGCAUUAAUGUGAAGGGUAAAGUCAUGAUGGUGGUGCUCAGAGGAGAGGUGGCCUAUAGUGAUGGACAGGUGUUGGUACCUCCAGGUUAUGGUCAGGAUGUCAAGUUGUGGUCAGCAGUCUCUGCUGUAGCACAUGAACCAAUAAAGAAUGCAUCUGAGGUUUCUCUGUUUGAUGCUCACAGCCAGACAAGUGCCAAGGCAGCUGAAACAACAUCCAAAGAGACACAGAAUAUAAACAGGGCAGUUGCUGAGUUUAUCUGCAUCAACCAAAUGCCAAUACAGUGGAAAGAUCUGGAUUUACGCAAAUGCUAAAGAAACUCAACGAUAGAUAUGAGCUUCCCAAUGCAGAGUUUUUUAUGAAUACUGAAUUGCCAAAACUGUACAAAGAAACUAUAGAGACUAUUAAAGCAGAACUUGAAGGGACUGGAUAUUAUGCCUGUACCGCAAACCUCCGGACAAACAGAACAAUGCAGUCCUACCUGACUGUAAGCAUUCAGUUCAUAACCAAGAAUUGGCAGAUUCGGUCAUGGUUCCUGGGAUGUGCAGAACUUCAUAGUGACCACACAGCAGAAAGCACGGAGGAGGCAUUCAGUGAGAUGUUGGAAGAUGAGUGUGGCCUCAGUACUCCCCAGAUGGCAGGAAUUACAACUAAAUACACUACAAAUAACUCAAAGGCCUUCUGUGAAUAUAACUGUAUUCCUUGCUUUUGACAUAAUCUUGACUAAGCACUACCUUGUCUCAACUUAGAACGACGGUCUGUGCUUUUUCAAGAUCCUCCAAACUGAGACGUAACCUAAAGUUAAAACAGGCUGCGCUUGGUUUACCGUUACACCAAUUGAUACACGAUGAACCUUAAUGUUGGGUGUCAUCAUAUAUCAUGGUGGAUUGCUUCUUACAACAGCAAGUAGCUGUUUGUGCAGUGUUAGCUGAUAACAGAAAUGAAUGGAAUCUCAUUCCUAAAGAAGCUGACAUUACUACCAUGAAGGAGUUCAAAAAUGUCCUCGGUUCUCUUAUGGAUUUUACCGAUGCACUAAGUGGAGAGCCGAAUCUCGGGAUAUCCUCGGUCCUUCCACUGCUUUGCAAGGCUGAAUCUAUUUUAGCAGCGAGUGACUCUGACAGCCAAUUGAGUUCUUGUAUCAAGGAUCGUGUGAGAUGUGAAUUGCGAAGCCAAUACGAGGGAGAAGUUGUUCAGGCAACUUUGAAUUGUGCCACAUUUUUGGAUCCAAGGUUAAAAAUACCUUUGUGUCUAAAGUACAAGAGGUGGAAGAACAGUUGCAGUGGCAAGUUGGAAACUUGGCGUGUAGUCACACCAAUGAAUGUCACAGUCAAACAGCCUCAUUUCCAGCAACCCAGGUCAGACGUAAGGGACGUUUUGGCAGAGAUCAAGAAAAGUGGAGAGACAUUACACACAACUGUGGAUGAUAUUACUCUCUCUGCGGAUCUACAGCAAAAGCUGAAGAAAGAGUUGGCAAAAUACCAGAAAUAAACACAGAAGACAACCUGCUCAACUGGUGGAGUGCACAUGAGGACAGCUUGCCAAUUCUGUCGAGGCUUGCAAGGAAAUAUCUUUGCCUAUAUGCUGUGUGCUGUGCAUCAUAGCGCAUUUUCAGUACCCCAAGGCUCACAUCACAGCACUCUGAUAUGCACGUGUUUCUUGCCAGGAAUCUGCACCAGGUGAAGAAAAUUGAAAGCGUAAGCUGAAAGCAUAUACUGGCAGUACAUUAACAAUUUACUUUUCAGAUUUCAGGGAGACUAAAUCUAAAAAAGGAAAAAUGUACACAUAUUUGGUUAUUCAGUAUAUUGAAUGUUUAAUCGUGUAAAUGGGUUAACUAAUGUUAAAUGGGACAUUAAUUGAUUUUUAUUAAGCAGUAUGCUCAUUUCUACCAUUUGAUCAGUGGUCUUUAAAGUUCAAGUUCUAUAGACCACUUUGCAAGAUGUAAACACUAGUCCAGAGUCACGUGAGUCUCAAAGGCUGGGGGUGUGUCCACUUUCGGCACUGAAACCAUGCCCACUCAUCUCUCCUAACCUGAGAGUCCCUAGUAUAUGUGAAGAGUUUUCCAGGAGCGACCUUGAUCAAUAGAAAAUCACUGAAGUGCGUCAUGUGAUCGCGCUGUAGUGUUACGGGAGGGGUCAUGCAUGCUUGGUGGCUCCAGUGCAUCAUCAAGACAUCAUUUCUGGAUCACCCAAAAAUCCUGAACACGAAAAGAGUUUCGUGUUCUCACGAUUCAGAACUAGUGUUUCAGCAAUUUAUGUGUUUGGAAACAACUCUUUGAAUUGCCUUUACCCAGACUUUAAAUCUUACAUAUAUAAUUAAAUCUUAAAUAUACUUGUUUAACAUUUAAUUUGGUUAUAAAUAUUCUGUUGGUUGUACUUUGUUCAAACGUUGGUGUUGUGUUAAAAAACUUCAAUAGGAAGUUCUAUGGACAAGCAUUAAACCAGCAUUGUUUACCACUUCCAAAGUGGUCUAUAAAUGUACAGUAGAUAAAAGAUUUGGUUUAAAAUGAUCGCCACCAUCAUUUUGUUUGUGAUCUAAAAAUUCAUACAUGUAAAGAAUGUAGCUAUUUUUGUGACAGUUCUUUGUCACUGACUUACAGCAGAGUCCAUGAUUUGGUGUAAAUGUGUAGUAUUGAGUUUAUACUGCCGUGUGUGUUUUAAAUCGUUUCAAAUAGGGUGUUGUUUAAUUGUAUUUGUUUAGUAACUUUAUGUGUACAUAUAUGCUACAUUGAAUGCUCCCUAUUAUUUUUAUGCCAUAUCCCACUGUAAGUGGGGCACAUAACCUUUUUAAUAUAUAAUCUAAAUAUAUAUCCUCAUUAUACAGCUUAAAGCGACAACGAGCAACUUUUUGACCUUAAAAUAAUGUCGCUAAAAUUAUUUUAGUGGUAGGUCAACCUUUGACUGGAUGAAUUUUACUGCCGUUGCUACCUAAGCAGCCUCCUAUCGGCUGAAAUUGCACUUGUAACUUUGGUGUUUGGGCCGGUACAAGCCCCGCCUAUCCCCUGCUUUACGGCAUACGUCACGUUUUACUCGUAGCCUGGGAGAAGUUAGCCAACAGCAGAGCUAACAGUAAGACGAAACGAACCAAAACAUCACCAUGGCAGAGCCAGCCAAAAAACCAAAGAGGGUUUUGUCGAAGGAAGCAAAGAAAAGAAAGCGAGAGAGUGAUUACACAUGAGGCCGGUCAUGAAUCAAUAUCGGACAGGCUUACACUCAGUGGCGCGAGCAGCAAGAGGCAACGAGUUGCAAAACGGAUGGAGACCUAGCGGUCCGGCUCCUGGAUUUGUGUUAUUUAUUUGUACAUUUUUUACUUUUGAACGUAUUUGUUAUUAGUCUGUGUCAUUGGCGCACCACCGGUUCACACUUUAUAACCGUAAGGUAGCUGAAAGAUAAUGGUUGCCGGUGUCGAUAGCUAGCAUGUUGUCGUGUCUCGUCAUGAAUGUGUGUAGUGCUUGUAAAUGAAGACUAAAAAACGUGUUGUGGUAAAAAAAAGUAGCAGAUUCUUUAGUUCAGACCAGUACACCACGUACAUGUUGAAAAGUUCAGUCGUUGAGUAGGCUAAUGUUGUCUUUAUAUAUAUUUAUAUAUAUAUAUAUAUAUAUACACACAUGCUAUGCACUGUUUUCAUAGUGUAUCUGGGUCCGCCUGGUCCGUCGGCUUUGUAAACAAACUCGCGUGUAUUGAGCUGCCAGGUGGAAAUCUUUGCAACAGUUUUUACGACACUGUAAGCAGACAAUUCCGUUUAUCAUCCACGUGGGGCAACAGUGAGCAGAAGUUGCUCGUUGUCGCUUUAAAUGUUAUUGUAGUGUAGCUAACUCCAUUUUCCAGAGCAUAGCAUUGACUGCAUUUCAGUUGAUCUGCAUAGCUUCUUGCAUGUCUUCCUUUCCCAACACUGGUCACAUCAUACUGGAGCUAUCAGGAAACAGAUCUCUUAACUCUGUAUCUUCUCAAAGAUAUACUGAAAUUACAGCCUUGUUUGAUCUAAUAAAAUACAAAUUUUCUCUCUUAACUGUUUAUUUUUCCUUUUGUAUAAAUUACAAACGUUGAACUUUGUAACUUGUCAGUGUUUGUUGGUGCAAAAGAGGUCAGUUGUUGUUCUAGAUAUCAGCUUAUUUGCAUUGGGAAGUGUCAAGUACAGUGUCAUUUGGUUACACUUGUGUGAUGGGCGUUAGCAUGUCAGUUUUAUAUCAUUAUGUAGAUUGAAAACUUGAAAUAUUAAGACAGAAACAGCACACUGCCAAAGACAGAGGACAAGAGAUGUCUCGAAUUCUAAGUCCACUCCUGUCGACUCGUGAGAAUGGCCUUCUCUUCAGUUUACUAAGUCAGGACUGUAAUGUAAGAAUACUUUUUCAUUUUGCUUGUUUUCUUAUCACUAACUUAUUCUUGGUUUUAAAGUAGUAAUAUUUACAGUAUGAUGGUUCUCACAUGCUAUUUGCAUUGAUAAGUACAUACACUUUACAAAAUUAAUAUUAAUAAUACAUAUGUGUACCUGCACUAUACACCUCCGGUGUACUGUGGGCACAGUGACAAUGAUAAACUAUCAGAAGUAUUAUACUUUAGUUGAAUUCCACCUGAUUUUGAUGUUUUUAAGUCAGAACAUGUUAUUUUAAUGUCACUGGUAAAAUAAAAAUGUAUAAGGCAUAUUUCUUUUCCAAACUUCUGUGCUGUAUUUUACCACUACUUUCUAACAAAAGUUAGAAUGUAAGCACCCAAGCGGAACAAAAAGUUAGAAAGUAGCAAAGUAGCUCCUUUCUACUUUCUAACAAAAGUUAGAAAGUAGAAAGGAGUUAGAAAGUAGUGGUAAACCAUGCUAUAUGAUGACACCCAACAUGAAGGUUCAUCCCAUUUUUACAAGUCAGUAAAAAAUUUGUAGAUAGUUAAAUGAGUGCUUUGUCAGAGCUCAGUAUUUGUUUGUGGGAAAUGAUUUGUUAUAUAAUGAAUGAAUUAUGCUCUCUUCCGCUUGGGUGCUUUUACAUGCAAAAUUAUGUGGCACAUGAGAUAGCUACAAGCACACGGUUCUGUCUUCAGUGCUAUUGUGCUUAAGCAUUUGUAUUUGUGUUCAUAUGAGUGUGAGCUCUGUGAAUAAGCUCUGUAUAGUCCACUCACUAAAUGAUGUGUGUGUUCGUGCGUGGGUGGGUGUGUGUGUGUG